CGGGGAGCCAGGGUCCCCUCGAAGACGAGCUGUCUACGCCGCGGAGCCGUUUCUGCUCCACCCAAGGGGAGGAGUAGGGGGAUGUCUUUGUAAAAGUUUAAUUGCAAAAUAAGUGGGUUAGUAAGGCCAUUUGUGGUUGCUGUUUCAGUAACUUCAGCAGUCAGCGGAGAGAACAGUGGAAACCUUACUGGAUGCGGACAGGAGAGCCAGUUACUGAAGACAACGCAGAUCCUAAUUGUGUGUUUUCACAUAUGUUGGACAAUAGGCAGAGAGCGGGGAUCCAAUGAACUUGUGAUAUGAGGGAGCUUUAGACGCCAAUGUUGAAGAUGAACAACCAAGAGAAUGUAGGAGACUGGAUCCCUGAAUCUCUGCAUGGAUAAUGGCAGCAAGCUUCUUUGGUGUUAAACAACCUAGAUUCUGAUAAAGCAUCUACUAUUGCCUUAACUAAAAAGUGAUGGAUAAUAUUUUCUUGGACAAAGGUGACAGAGAUGAAUAUGAAGGGAAGUGGUCAGAUUCUACAUACACUUUGCAGAGAAACAGGAGGUCCUGAGAAUGUGGAUAUGGUGAAAAGGGGGACAUAUGAAGGCAAAAGUGUCCCUGGUCCAUGGAAGUCACAAUGUGGCCUUGGCUGAUGCAACUGUUGCUGCAGGAAGCAUAUGCUGAGAAGCCCGACUCUGAACUCACUGAUCUUUUGAGAUUUGUUAGUGUUCUGCUUUUCAUUCUGAACUCUUUUGACUCUGUACUGUUUUUACCCAGAGGAAAUAAAGUUUUUAAGCCCCCUGCAAUGCAAAGGAAGUCAAUGGAACAACAAGCUAGUUUAAGCUCAGGACAUGUGGGGAACAACAAAUGGUCAGAAAUGUGUAUCUGAUGUGGUUGUUCUAUUCCUUACUCUGAUGUAAGUUGUAAAUUACAACUAUGUGUGUUGUACCUCCAUCAUUGCAAAAGAACCAGUUUAAAGAUCCAACCAGUGAAGAAUUUGGUCUAUAAGAUAAUACCUUCAUAACACUGUGUGUGGGUCCAGACACCAUACUGUUUAAAAAGCACUUUUCCAUUUAGGAUCCAUUUGUUCCUCACAACCUCCUGUUCAGCAGGCAUUGCAUUGUACUGAGAAGCAACAUUUCUAUAUUUGGUAGCAUUAAGAAUAAACAAAAAAUGUCCCCACCCCACAAAUCAAUCAUAGGAUAAGCAGAGUUUAGACAAACAGUGCUUCAUUACCAUGGGGCAACUCUUGUUUUUGUUACAACUCCUGUGUUCCUUCUCUUUCCAAAAUCAUUGCUACAAAAACUCAACAAACGAUACAAUAAAUGAAUUCAUAUUGUAUUAUAACACCUUAAGCAUUCUCAAUACUCUUUCCUACUUAAUAUAAUCGCUAAUGAAAAAGAGGCUAUAAAUGAAACAAAGCUUUUGUUGUAUUUUUGAUAUUAUAGACAUUUUAUACAUUCAUUUUGGAAAAUAUGAAAUCUACUGACUGCUGGGAAAAAGAAGAAAAUAAAAAUAAUUCAUAACCCCACUUCAGAGAUAACCAUUGGUAAUAUUUUGAUAUUAUUUAUAUAUAUUGUUGAUUUCCAUAUACAGUAUUUUUUAAAAAACAGAUGAUAUUGUUUAUAAUGUUUACAAUUUUACUUUAAAGCUCAGCAAUAUAUUACAAACCUAAAGAAUAAAUCAUGGGGUUAAAAUUUUUGCAUGAAAUUCCAUAGGAAUGGAGCUUUUAUUAUUAAAUAACCAAUUCUUUAUUAUUAGAGGUUUAGAUAGUCUUUUAUUUUCUGUUACAAACACGGCUCUGAAGAAAUUUUUUUGUGUGUGGAUGGUCAAACAUUUAUUUCUUUAAUUUAUAGAAAUGGAAUCCCUAGGUUAAAAAGACUGGCAUUUUUAAGGUUUCUGACUCAUAUUUUCAAACUGCUUUUAGCUCCAGUACUCCUCCAAUUAACAUCAACAAGGAGGUACUGUGCAGUGAAACUGGUCCCAUUAUCUGAUAUAAAAAGACCAAAUAACUCUGGAGGUACAUUUAGCAAUAGUGGAGAUCUGGAGCAAAACAUAUAAAUGUUGUCACUAAUUGAUAAGAAUGCACCAAGUCAGGCUGUGGGGUGAGAGGGAGGAGACUGGGGAGGAGAAGGCAGCCUGGGCUAUGAGCAAAGUGCUCCUCACUUCUGGGCCCUGGCUCCUUUUCCACACAUCAGCUCCUGAAGGGUCUGUGUCUGGACAGAGGAAUAUCUCCACUCCAGCUGAAGAGGUAGUGACGGCAGAAGAAAAA